rnacentral:rRNA from 1 species
UACGGAGGGUGCGAGCGUUGUCCGGAAUCACUGGGCGUAAAGGGCGCGUAGGCGGCGCGGAUAGUCGGCGGUGAAAGCCCGGAGCUCAACUCCGGGUCGGCCGUCGAUACUUCCGGGCUUGAGCACUGUAGAGGCAGAUGGAAUUCCGGGUGUAGCGGUGGAAUGCGUAGAGAUCCGGAAGAACACCGGUGGCGAAGGCGGUCUGCUGGGCGAGUUGCUGACGCUGAUGCGCGACAGCGUGG